CCUACGGGGGGCUGCAGUGGGGAAUAUUGCACAAUGGGGGAAACCCUGAUGCAGCAACGCCGCGUGAGCGAUGAAGGCCUUCGGGUCGUAAAGCUCUGUUGUUAGGGAAGAACACGUACGAGAGUCACUGCUCGUACCUUGACGGUACCUAACCAGAAAGCCACGGCUAACUAAGUGCCAGGAGCCGCGGUAAUACGUAGGUGGCAAGCGGUGUCCGGAAUUAUUGGGCGUAAUGGGCGGGGAGGCGGUGACUUAAGGCUGAGGUGAAGUGGCACGGCGCAACGGUAGGAGAGGAGGGAAAGAGGAGGGAUUGAGGGGAGGGGAGGAGGGUGGAAAUCGGAGGGAAGGGGUGAGAUGGGUAGGGAUUGGGGGGGAUACGAUUGGAGUAGGCGGGUUUGUGGAGGGGGACUGAAGGUGGGGGAGAAAAGCGUGGGGAGAGACCAGGAUGAGAUGCGAUUGUAGUC
rnacentral:rRNA from 1 species